UGAAGCUCUCUUGCUCCCUCUCUCUCUCUACCUCUCUCUCCCCCUCUGUAGUCAGUAAUUUUUAGGGCUGGGCGUCUGGGGACUGCCCUCGCCGUCUCCUCUGGUCUCUGCGACUCCAUCAGUCGAAUUCUCGACUUCACACGCCACAGCACAGACGCACAACAUUGGCUUAUCUCCAAUCGCUGCAAUCGGAUUGUGAAUGAAUAGUUCUCUUGUAGCCUAUAUCCUCUUGCAUUCUGCAGUGUGUGUUCUAAUUCGCACAACAUUACAACAACACAUGCAUGGGUGUGACUGCAGGCUCUGUGCUAAACCGUCUUCUUUGUGACAAAGGCCAUCUAACCAAACCCUCAAAUCCCACCACCGUCAAAGCCAUCACCAGCAAAAUCCUCACUUAUCUUGACUCUGGUCAUCUCCCGAAAGCUGUUUCAAUCCUCUUUGCAUCUCCAUUUCCCUUCCAAUUUUCUCUCUACGCCCAUCUCUUCCAGCUCUGUUCCUCAAACCGCGCCAUUCUCGAGGUCCGAAAGGUUGAGUCGCAUUUGGUCACCUUCUCACCCAUCCCGCCCAUUUUUCUACUGAAUCGUGCCAUUGAGGCUUAUGCGAAAUGUGGGUCUUUGGGAGAUGCGAGGGAGCUGUUCGAGGAAAUGCCUCAAAGAGAUGGUGGGUCUUGGAAUGCAUUGAUAACAGCGUACUCACAAACUGGGAAUCCUGAGGAUGCCUUUGGCUUGUUCAUAAAGAUGAACCGGUCGGGUUUUUUGCCAAAUGAGAUUACAUUUGCCAGUGUUCUUGGGUCGUGUGCUGCAGUUUUGGCGCUUUGGCUUUCGAGGCAAAUUCAUGCGGUUAUUUUCAAGUAUGGUUUCAAUGGGAAUGUGAUUUUAGGGAGUUCACUUGUUGACAUAUAUGGGAAAUGUGGGGUUAUGAGGGAUGCCCGUGGAAUAUUUGAUGAGAUCCAGAAUCCAAAUGACAUAUCUUGGAAUAUAAUUGUGAGGCGGUAUCUCGAGAUGGGUGAAGGAAAGGAGGCAAUAAUUAUGUUUUUCCAGAUGUUUGUGGCAGCUGUUAGGCCAUUGAAUUUCACCUUUUCUAAUGCUCUUGUUGCUUGUUCGAGUAUUACUGCACUUGAAGAGGGAAUGCAGAUUCAUGGAGCUGCAAUUAAAAUGGGUUUCGAAAAUGAUGAGGUUGUUUUGAGCUCCCUUAUCGAUAUGUACGCCAAGUGUGGGGAACUAGAGAAUGCAUGUGCAAUUUUUGACCAGCCUAAGUCGAAAAAUUUGAUUUCUGGGACUUCAAUUGUUUCAGGAUAUGCAAUGAGUGGACAGACGUGGAAGGCAAGAGAGUUCUUCAAUGAAAUGCCUGAACGGAAUGUGGUAACUUGGAAUGCAAUGUUGGCAGGAUACACUCAUUAUUUCCAGUGGGAAGAGGCUUUGAAUUUUAUAUUCCUGAUGGUGAACACAACAAAAAAUAUAGACCAAGUCACCCUUGGGUUAAUCCUCAAGGUGUGUGCUGGCCUUUCGGAUGUUGAAAUGGGAAAACAGGUUCAUGGAUUCAUUUACCGACAUGAUUUCUGUUCCAAUAUCUUUGUUGGAAAUGGCCUUCUUGACAUGUAUGGUAAAUGUGGGUACUUGAAAAGUGCCAAAACAGUCUGGUUUCACCAAAUUAGUCAGUGCCGGGAUAGAAUUUCUUGGAAUACUUUGUUGAGUAGCUAUGCUCGUCAUGGCCGGAGUGAACUAGCUAUGACAAUAUUUUGUGAGAUGCAAUUGGAGGAAACACCUGAUGAAUACACGUUUGCAAUUCUCCUGGCAGCUUGUGCAAAUAUUUUUGCACUUGAGCAAGGAAAACAAAUUCAUGGUUUCAUGAUCAGAAAUGGUUAUACAAUGGAUAGUGUGGUCAGGGGGGCAUUAGUUGACAUGUAUUCCAAGUGUCAUUCUAUUGAGUAUGCUAUCAUGGUUUUCAAAGAGAGGGCUUCAAGAGAUGUAAUUCUAUGGAACUCCAUGAUUUUGGGAUGCUGUCACAACUAUAAGGGGAGAGAAGUACUUAAAUGUUUUGGUUUGAUGGAGGAUGAAGGUAUUAAGCCAGAUCAUGUAACAUUUCGAGGUGUUUUACAUGCUUGUACAUAUGAAGGUUUUGUUGAGUUGGGCAGGCAGUAUUUUGAUUCGAUGACCAAUGAGUACGGUAUUAUACCUAGAUUAGAGCACUAUGAGUGCAUGAUUGAACUCUACAGCCAAUGGGCGUACAUGGAUGAGCUUGAAAAUUUUGUAAAGAAUAUGCCAUUUGAUCCUACAGUCCCAAUGUUGACAAGAGUCCUUGAUGCUUGUAGAAGACAUGGCUGCUUGAGAUUGGGACAAUGGGCUGCUCAAAGACUUAAUGAGUAAUCCUUCUAGUUCAUAAGAGUUUCAGAUUAUGGACAGAGCCAAGUAGUGAUUGCCAGCGUUGCAGAUUUGGAAGCUUAAACUACUACCUUGUCGUAAACGUUCUACAUUGAAUGAAAUUUGUUUGACGUAAUGGAUGAAGGAGUACUCUAGAAAAUUGAAGCAACAAAAUUUGUUGGUCAUGCAGAAAUGAUUAUUUUUUCCUCAACGUGUUCCUACAUCCACAACGACAACAGCAGGUAAUAAAUGCUGAUGAUAGCGAUCGGGCGGACACCCUUUCCCCAACUCUGAUGUGCCAAUUUUCUGUGCUUGCAAGUUGGAAAGACACCGUUUUAUUUGUCUUAGCAAAUCAGGGUUCAGGAUACACUGUUUUCAUCUUAUUGUUGUAUAUUCUUCUAUUUAAUUUUUCUACUUCAAUAAUUUUUUUAAUAUGAUGCAGGAAGAUGAAAAGGAGAAUCGCAAAGGCUUUUCAAGCAGCCAUAUUCAAAUAGUUUUCUUCAAUUGAAGUACUGUUUUAUCUAUCUGUUGAAAAUAUUUUUCGAUGAACAUUUGUAAGGAUACAAGUAUAAACAACAUUUGUUAUGGGACUCAGCUUCAUACACUCUUCUUGACUUGAGGUGCAGCAGAGAAGAGAAGCCAUUACCAAGCAACCACAAUGUUCAAAGGACCAACAAAGCAGAUUUCCAGGAACUGGAAGGAUUCUCCACCAGGACCUGUUGGAUGGCCCAUACUUGGGAGCCUUCCUCACCUCCUCAACAAUCGCCUUCAUGAGGACUUGUUUCAUCUCUCUAGAAUCCAU